AGAGGGUGCAAGCGUUGCUCGGAUUUACUGGGCGUAAAGCGUACGCAGACGGUGAGAAAGGUCGGAUGUGAAAGCCCCGGGCUCAACCCGGGAACUGCAUCCGAAACCAUCUCGCUAGAGUAUGGGAGAGGGAAGCGGAAUUCCUGGUGUAGAGGUGAAAUUCGUAGAUAUCAGGAGGAACAUCUGCGGCGAAGGCGGCUUCCUGGCCCAUUACUGACGUUCAGGUACGAAAGCGUGGGUAGCAAACAGGAUUAGAUACCCUGGUAGUCCACGCCGUAAACGAUGUGUGCUGGAUGUCGGGGGUAUUCACCCCCUCGGUAUCGAAGCUAACGCGAUAAGCACACCGCCUGGGGAGUACGGCCGCAAGGUUG
rnacentral:rRNA from 1 species